AUAGUAAAUUGGAGAAGGAGGAGGAAUACUAUUUUCUCUCUCAGUUGUGGAGAUAUGGUGAUAGAAGGAACUAAAAACCUAUUGAAACAUGCUACUGGUUUCUACAAGGACCUUUUUGGUCUUACAGUUGGGAACAUUUGUAAAAUGGGUGAACAUUUGUGGGGGACAAAUGAGAAAUUGUCAGAUAUCGAUAAUUUUAUCCUUACUAGACCUUUCUCAGAAACUGAAAUAAAGAAUGCACUUUUCGCUAUGAAACCAAAUAAAGCACCAGGGCCAGACAACAUUCCUAUUGAAUUCUUCCAACAUUGUUGGGAGAUUGUCAAGAGUGAGGUGAUGUUAUUAUUUGAAUUGUUCCAUGAUAAUAAGCUUGAUGUUUUUUUGACAAAUUGA
rnacentral:rRNA from 1 species